AUACGGAGGGUACAAGCGUUACUCGGAAUUACUGGGCGUAAAGCGUACGUAGGCGGACUGGAAAGUUGGGGGUGAAAUCCCGGGGCUCAACCCCGGAACUGCCUCCAAAACUUCCAAUCUAGAGAGCGAGGGAGGUGAGUGGAAUUCCAAGUGUAGAGGUGAAAUUCGUAGAUAUUUGGAGGAACACCAGUGGCGAAGGCGGCUCACUGGCUCGAUACUGACGCUGAGGUACGAAAGCGUGGGGAGCAAACAGGAUUAGAAACCCUAGUAGUCC
rnacentral:rRNA from 1 species